GUUUAUCUUUCUUCUUCCAGUGUAAGAAUCAAUUCUGGCUUGCACCAGUUCAAUUCAAUUCAGUUCUAGUGCAGUCUUAGGGCGGGAAUAAAAAACAAACUCUAAGAAAAAUUUUUAACACUAUUCUGAAGUUUGAAGCGCUUUUCUGAGGUUAUAUUUUAUUUACGACUAGUUUCAAAGAUUGCUAGUAUCGCAAACGUGACAUUUAAUCAUGAUUAUUGUAAAAAAAUGAAAUUUAUUGAUAAGAUACCGAUAAUAUUACUUUCGAAGACAGCAUACGGAAUAUGAAAUCAAAAAUAUGGGGAUGAGCUUUUGAUAGAUUUAAUACAAUCUCGCCCAUUUAUUUAUGAUAAAAAGUUAAAAGAAUUUCGAGAUAUUAAUAUGAAACAAAAUGCAUAGUCAAAGAUAGCUUCUAUUUUAAAAAGUUCAAUUCUAGACUCAAAUACGUUGGUUACGUCUUCGUCAAUUCUUCAGUAAGGAGAGGCAGCUACGAGAAAAUGAAACAAGAAGUGGAGCAGGAAAAAUAACAAGAACUUAUUUUAAUAUCACUCAACAAGUCAACCCGUCUGUGAACAGUCAAAAAUGUAUACAAAAUGAAACAAAGACUGGUGAAUUACAUGAUGAUAACAUUGAAAAUAUAUGUACGAAAAGUUUGAUCAAUUCAUCUAUGAGAUAUCAGACAAAAUUAUUAUCUGUACAGUGUUAUAAUAUAACUGAUGUGAGUCAAUCUUCAUUCUCAUCAACGCCUAUGUAGCUAACACUGCAAUCGACAUCUUCGCCAAUGUUGAGAUCGAUAUCUUCGCCGAUACGGUCAUCAUCAGCUCCUUUACCACAUUCAAAUAUACCAGUUUCAAUAACAGACGAGCUAUCGACUCUGUUAUUAAAAACACAGAAUAUGCCUACAUCUUGUUUUACUGGAACUAACAGACAUAAAGGAAACAAAAUGUCGAUCCUAUGGAAACAGCUUUGUCUCAAAUGA